rnacentral:rRNA from 1 species
UGGGGAAUAUUGGACAAUGGGCGCAAGCCUGAUCCAGCCAUGCCGCGUGAGUGAUGAAGGCCCUAGGGUUGUAAAGCUCUUUCACCGGUGACGAUAAUGACGGUAACCGGAGAAGAAGCCCCGGCUAACUUCGUGCCAGCAGCCGCGGUAAUACGAAGGGGGCUAGCGUUGUUCGGAUUUACUGGGCGUAAAGCGCACGUAGGCGGACUUUUAAGUCAGGGGUGAAAUCCCGGGGCUCAACCCCGGAACUGCCUUUGAUACUGGAAGUCUUGAGUAUGGUAGAGGUGAGUGGAAUUCCGAGUGUAGAGGUGAAAUUCGUAGAUAUUCGGAGGAACACCAGUGGCGAAGGCGGCUCACUGGCCCAUUACUGACGCUGAGGUGCGAAAGCGUGGGGAGCAAACAGG